UGGGGAAUAUUGGACAAUGGGCGCAAGCCUGACCCAGCAACGCCGCGUGAAGGAUGAAGUAUUUCGGUAUGUAAACUUCGUAAGAAUAGGAAGAAUAAAUGACGGUACUAUUUGUAAGGUCCGGCUAACUACGUGCCAGCAGCCGCGGUAAUACGUAGGGACCAAGCGUUGUUCGGAUUUACUGGGCGUAAAGGGCGCGUAGGCGGUUUGUCAAGUCAGUUGUGAAAUCUCCGAGCUUAACUCGGAACGGUCAACUGAUACUGUCAAACUAGAGUACAGAAGGGGCAAUCGGAAUUCUUGGUGUAGCGGUGAAAUGCGUAGAUAUCAAGAGGAACACCUGAGGCGAAGGCGGGUUGCUGGGCUGAUACUGACGCUGAAGCGCGAAAGCUAGGGUAGCAAACGGGAUUAGAUACCCCCGUAGUCCCUGAGCGGGCUGGCAAGGCGCAU
rnacentral:rRNA from 1 species